rnacentral:rRNA from 1 species
GGAAUUGACGGGGAGCACCACAACGGGUGGUAGCUUUGCGGUUUAAUUUGGAUUCAACGCCGGAAUCUUACCGGGACCGACAGCAAUAUGAAGGCCAGGCUGAAGACUUUGCCGGAUUAGCUGAGAGGUGGUGCAUGGCCGUCGUCAGUUCGUACUGUGAAGCAUCCUGUUAAGUCAGGCAACGAGCGAGACCCACGCCCACAGUUGCCAGCGUACUCUCUGGAGUGACGGGUACACUGUGGGACCGCCGCUGCUAAAGCGGAGGAAGGAAUGGGCAACGGUAGGUCAGUAUGCCCCGAAUAUCCCGGGCUACACGCGAGCUACAAUGGUUGGUACAAUGGGUAUCUACCCCGAAAGGGGACGGGAAUCUCCUAAAACCAAUCUUAGUUCGGAUUGAGGGCUGCAACUCGCCCUCAUGAAGCUGGAAUCCGUAGUAAUCGCGUUUCAACAGAACGCGGUGAAUACGUCCCUGCUCCUU